UACGAAGGGGGCUAGCGUUGCUCGGAAUUACUGGGCGUAAAGCGCACGUAGGCGGCUUUCUAAGUCGGGGGUGAAAUCCUGGAGCUCAACUCCAGAACUGCCUUCGAUACUGGAGAGCUCGAGUCCGGGAGAGGUGAGUGGGACUGCGAGUGUAGAGGUGAAAUUCGUAGAUAUUCGCAAGAACACCAGUGGCGAAGGCGGCUCACUGGCCCGGUACUGACGCUGAGGUGCGAAAGCGUGGGGAGCAAACAGG
rnacentral:rRNA from 1 species